rnacentral:rRNA from 1 species
UACAGAGGUGGCUAGCGUUGUUCGGAAUUACUGGGCGUAAAGGGCGCGUAGGCGGCCCUUCAAGUCCCGCGUGAAAUCCCCCGGCUCAACCGGGGAACUGCGCGGGAAACUGUAGGGCUUGAGUUUGGGAGAGGGAAGCGGAAUUCCGGGUGUAGCGGUGAAAUGCGUAGAUAUCCGGAGGAACACCGGUGGCGAAGGCGGCUUCCUGGACCAAUACUGACGCUGAGGCGCGAAAGCUAGGGGAGCAAACGGG